CUUAGCGAUGAGAGGAGAGUAAAGUAAUAAAUUUUGUUACAAUAAUUAUGUGUUGCGGGCCAAAGAUAGUUUGUAUGUUGAUGUAUUUAUCUCUUGUUGCUGACCAAGAUCUUCGUCCACCAGUACCUCACAUGCAAGUCGAAGUGUAAAAGUCUAUAAUGAACAUGAUGAGAAUAGGUCAGAAGAUGAAAACGGUUACAAGAAAUUCAGAAAAGCAAAGCCUUUACCAUAGUUUGGAAAUUAAAGGUGAUAUGACAUGGCAAAGCUGGAAACCAAAUGCAGAGUAUGUGAAAUAUAUUGUGCUUAAAAAUGUCCAACAAAAUACGACCAUAAAGAUCACACACAGUGUCCCAAAGACAAAACACUUCUGUACACGGUUUCCUGAGCCGAUCGUUCUGUGCACUGGAGCAAGUUUUACUCUGCCAGUAACCUUCCGACCUGAGCAGAAAGACGUGUAUGAAGAUGCAAUUAACAUCCAAACUUCGAAAGAAACUUUCACGAUACCACUACGGGCCGUUUCACCACAGUGUGAGCUGGUUAUACCUGCUGCAGUUGAUGUUGGAUUCUGUGCUCUAAGUCAGAAAACUACUACCCAAUUUCAGAUGCACAAUUUAAGUUCCAUGCCAGCAGAAUUUAUGUGGGAUGUUAGUCUGCCAUUUAACAUCAAUCCAGCGGAGGGUGUUCUGUUACCACGGUCAUCCCUCUUGGCAGAAACAACUUUCAGACCUGUGCUGGCAGAGGUUUACCAAGGGCAGGCUGUUUGCAAAUAUGGCCUGAAGGGAGAUGAAUACUGGUCUAUGACAUUGCAUGGCACUGGUAAAUUUUCUCACCAUGUGGUAUCUAGUCUAGAGCAAAGAGACACUGCAAUGCAGAACAACAAUGGGGUCAUUGAGGUUGACUUCCAUAACAUACCUAUAGGUGAUCAAGCAGUGAAACGUGUGAAGGUGGAGAAUGCUUCUAAAAUGAAGAAGCCAAUCACACUGAAAAACUGCAUAGGAUCAGACACUGCAUCAAAAAUCUUCAGGAUUGAGCAUAGUGAUUUGGACAGUAUCGUUUCAGUCACCUUUUCACCGGCAACUGUCGGCAUGAAAUAUACAGAAUACUUCGAGCUUCAAGCAAACAACGACACCUCAAAGAUCACCAUCAAAUGUACUGGCGCUGGAAAAGGACCAGAGGUCAAGUUAUCAUCAGAUAGCAUUAAUUUCAUGCAAGUUGAGUGUAAAGCAAGCAAGACAUUAGAGAUCUGCAACUGCUCUGAUGCGCUUGCAUAUUACCAGUUUGACCUUGAUUGCUCAGAGAGUGCGUUUAGUAUAAAUCAGGUGUCUGGCAUUCUGAAACCGAAAUCGUCGAAAACUCUAACUGUUACUUUCAAACCAUCUGAACCUAUAAUCUACUACAGAAGACUUAUCUGCAUCGUUCACAAUCAGGGUCCUCUGUUUGUGGAUGUCAUGGGAACAUACCACAGCGAAAACGUAAAGCCAGCUAUUCUGCAGAAACAUCACCUGCAGCAUUACCAUGCACUUGUACAGAAGGGCUUAUCUGUCUACUCCCCUGAGCAACUUGACAGCAUGUUAAACGAAGGAGAGACGAAUUCGGAGACUAGUACCUUGCCAAUGAUGGCUGGUAAAGCUAGUACUACUGAAGGCAAACAAUACACCUGCCCUACUCUGCUGCCAGCACUGACAUAUGAUGAGCUUUUCCAUGAUGGCUAUUUCUCUGAUCUAAGGCAUAAGGAACCUCAUGUUAGCAUGGAUGUGAGAGAGAUGACGUUUGGAAGAUGCACAGACCUAGCUUGUAUUGAACCAAAGGGCAUGACGGUCACUAAUCAUACAAAGUCCAAAAUCACCUGUAUCUGGAUGGGAAGUCCUGACCAUGCAUUUUCUGUGACUCCAAGGCGUUGUGAUAUUCCUCCUCUGAAAUCCUCAUCAUUUUGGGUCACCUUUAAACCGGAAGUGCAAGGUCAAUUCUAUGGGGCAGUGCUGGAGUGCUAUGCUUUUUACAAGUCUGUAAGCAAUAGCCAGCCGCUGGAAGGAAGUGUAGUAUAUCCACCCUGGUGCCUCACCCUUGGUGUCACAGGACAUACAUUUCUUCAGAGGAGUGAGACGUUCCUUCCCAGAUUUGAGUUGUUGCCCAGACACUUGCACCUCCCACCAGUACCACUAGGUGGUUCAGCAUACUCUACAAUAAUGCUUAAAAACAUGGGAUGCGCACCUAUCCUGUAUGAUAUCAGACAGGACACGCCAGGAAUGUUCCAUGUGAAGCCGUGCACAGGGCUGCUGCGUGAUCAGCAUCAAAUAUUUGUGUUGGAAAUGGAUUCUGCUAGGAAGGGAGCGCAGGAACAGACUCUACAACUUAGGAUGAAUGAUGAUAGUAGAAACACACAAGUGAUCAAACUAAGUGGUUCAGCAGACUUGCCAAAAGUCGAGUUGGAAAAUGAUGGCUUUACGUAUUUUAAGCCAACCUGCAUCCAUACGACAUCAGAACAAAGUUACAGUGUCAGAAAUGUUUGUAAAGUCCCUCUAAGAUAUGAAUGGAGGUUUGAUGAUGCUGAUCCUACGGUGCUGAGCGUUGAACCAAAAUCUGGUAUUAUUGGACCAAAUGAGUGGCAGGCACACACAUGGAGAUUUAGUCCCAAAUCCGAGGCUAAAUUUAUCUUGAAGCCCGUGCUUUUCGUCUGCACAUGCGAAGAUGCGCAAGCUUCACAUUCAAAGGCAGUUGUCAUUAGAGUAGAAGGCGAGGGCAUAAAAGGAUCAUUAAAGGUUGUUCCAGCAUCAAUAGAGUACCCACAGGUUGUCGUUGGCAGGGAAGAGUGCAAACGCUUGGAAGUGGUUAAUGACAGUAGCUGUGAUGUCCAUUGCCAGCUGCACGUCCACAACAAUACAGAUGGUGAUGACUCUGUUGUUAUGCUGGAAACCAGGAGACACACGCUGCCUGCACGCACUAAGCAAACGAUCUACAUGCUAGUGAAACCCUCAGGACACACGAAAUAUGACAUUUCUAUUUCUUACCAGCUCCUCACAACAGCAGGAGAGGAUAGCUUCACAGUUGGGAAGCAACAGGAUCUUUGCCAUGUGCUUGUGUCUGGUGUGUUCCCUACCUUUGCUGUCACAGACGUUGCCCGCCAUGUCAGUGACAAAUGUAUAAACAAGCAACAGUUAUGGAAGCUAUUCAACAUCAACAGAUUCAAUUCUCUCAUGAAGCAGAAUCCAUUAAGAAAUCUAGAUUCAUCCAAAGAGUCUUACAGAUCCUACACACGACCACAGGUUGACUUCAACUUUACAGCAGCACCAGUGGGUGCAGAGCACUGUGUGGUGGAGCUAACAUUCGCAAACUCUGCAGCCGUACCAGCGGAGUGGUGUUUCACAUUUCCUAGUGAAGUUGGAUUGGAGAUCCCAUAUUGGACAUCUUCAUGUAAUCAACAGCAGGCUUCUCCACCUGAUGAGACGGACUUCAGUGUUCACCCAAAACGAGGGCAUUUACCACCAGGUGGCAAGCAAACCGUCACAGUGAGGUACAGUCACAGAGUGGUGGGCACCAACAACCUUCCUGUAUUGUUUGUCAUCAAAGAGGGACAGCAGAUGCUGCUGAAUUUUGUUGGAGUCACGGUGCCCCCUGAGCGACCAUACCUGCACAUCGCGCAAACAAGCCACACGUUCAACCCACAGCCGAUCGGUGAGAGUAGCUACCCGGUGCAGAGCUACGAGCUGUAUAACGGUGGCGGAGUGCCUGUGAAGUUCUCACUGGACCUGCGCGGCUUAGAUGAACUGCAGCAGGAGAACUAUCAGUAUGAGAUAGUUGCAUGCUUGACCCCUAAAGGUGAGAUUCAGCCAGGCUGCAAGGCAGCUGUUAAGUGGAGGUUUGCACCGCUGGAAGCCAAAACCUACUCUGUUGGAGUAGCAAUCCAUGUUGAAGGAGGAGAAACUACAGUUAUCACCUUCUCAGGAACAGGUUAUGUUGAAACGUGCCCAAAUUUGUGUGAUCUCAACCUGUACCCAUUGUAUGAGGAAAACAAUUCCUUGUCCAAGCAGGUUCUGCAGAUGUCAACUGAGAAGUUGCUGUUUGGAGACAUGCCGCUGUUCAGUCAGGAACAUCGUUUGCUCUUUGUCACCAACUCGUCUGUUAACCAUUGCAUGUCAUUUCGGUGGCUCCUGUCUCCAGAGCUGAACAAGUUCAUCGCAAUAUCACCAGCGGAGGCCAUGUUGAAACAGGGUGAGUGCCGGCUAUGCACGGUGACCUUCACUGCAACAGACGUGCCUGCCUUACAUGAUAUUGACAUCGUAUGUGAGGUUCAAGAUGAAACAGCGAUGGCUUUGUACGAGCAGAAACUGGAUGCGUGGGCAGCGACAGUUAGAACAAAAGAGUCUGAAUUCACUAUCACAGAUAACUCAAGUGGCAUAGCAUCGAAGAAAGGAAAAUCACAGUCAGCGAGCAAGCUGAGACCACUAGGCAGGGAGUCCCCGGAAGUAGAAUUCAGUCCAUACAAAGCCCUGCCUCCAAUAGCAAGUAGUGUGCACACAGAGGCAGUGAAAGAGCUGGCUAGACUGACUAUGGAGGAUACGCCAGAGGCUCGAGAGAUGCUUAAAAGCAUACCACAUCCACCGGCUCCUUCUAUUGUUCACCUCGGUGUUACUGCAAGUGUGCACAGCUUGGUCUCCUUCAGAAGACAGUUUCCACAGAAGAUAAGCAGUAGCUUCCUAAAAAAACUGCCAGUAAACGAUGAUUUUGACACGGCCAUGCAGCGUUCAUCCCUGGCCGACCUCAGUAGCACUGAGCAACGACUCCUAGCUGACGUCCUGGACAACAUCAUAUUCAACUUGGUUGAGGAUGCUACCUUUCACGAAGCCCUGACACUCGUUAGCAACGAGAGAGUGCCCUAUUACGUCCAACUUCAAAGUGACAGGUCAGACCACAAGUCUGAUACCGUGCAGAUAAAUUCUUCCAGGACAUGCACAAAGUCUAGCAAAGCCACACAUAUACAGGCGACGAGCGCUGUUGAUGCAGCAGUAGGGCAGGUGGGUACCUGCCCACUGAUCCUCACUGAGGAAGUCAUGCAAAACACCUUGCAGAACAUCAUACAAGAAGCUUUUCACAGCGAGUUUAGCAUCACUGCCCCACCACGAAUACUCGCGAGUGCGCAGCCUACCGUGUCAGGCUAGCGCCAUUUUGUCACCAGUUCUUAUUAGCUAGCUAAUAGAAUGUUUUAAUACAGUAAUAGGUAGACAAACAGAACGUUGUCUUGAAAUGCAUUAAAAUUAAAAAGGAACAUUGCUUUCAUACAGAAUUUUGUUGCGUGAAGAUCUGACUCCUAAUGUUCAUAUGAAUUCUUCAGUUUUUCAAUAGUGACCCAAUUCUGUUGUAAAUGCACAGCCUGGCAUUAUAUUACUCCUCUUUUAAACACGGUAUACAAUGUCUCUAUUCUAAUACUAUUCAUUGAAACUUUUUAAAGUUUAAGAAUAACCUUAACCAUUGUUUAAUGUACAAUUAUUAUAUAUGGCAGUUUAUUUAUGUUCAUAGUAUAACAGACAAUAAAUUAUAAACCAUCAAUUAGUUUUCCAUAA
rnacentral:misc_RNA from 1 species